GCCAGACUCCUACGGGAGGCAGCAGUGAGGAAUAUUGGUCAAUGGGCGCGAGCCUGAACCAGCCAAGUCGCGUGAGGGAGGACGGCCCUACGGGUUGUAAACCUCUUUUGCCGGGGAGCAAAGUGCCGCACGUGUGCGGUUUGGAGAGUACCCGGAGAAAAAGCAUCGGCUAACUCCGUGCCAGCAGCCGCGGUAAUACGGAGGAUGCGAGCGUUAUCCGGAUUUAUUGGGUUUAAAGGGUGCGCAGGCGGAAGAUCAAGUCAGCGGUAAAAUUGGGAGGCUCAACCUCUGCGAGCCGUUGAAACUGGUUUUCUUGAGUGAGCGAGAAGUAUGCGGAAUGCGUGGUGUAGCGGUGAAAUGCAUAGAUAUCACGCAGAACUCCGAUUGCGAAGGCAGCAUACCGGCGCUCAACUGACGCUCAUGCACGAAAGUGUGGGUAUCGAACAGGAUUAGAUACCCGUGUAA
rnacentral:rRNA from 1 species